GUUCGCUUUGGCAGCACACAUACUAAAAUUCCAACGAUACAGAGAAGAUCAGCCUGGCCCCUGUGCAAGGAGGACAUGCAAAUUCAUGAAGCCCUCGAUAUUUUU